rnacentral:misc_RNA from 1 species
GUAUUAUAUCGCGUUAAACGCAGAGUGCAUUCCAUAAGACUUCGCUACGGCGUAUGUGUAAAGACAUAGAACCACGGCAGGAAGACAGCGUGUCCCCCAGACCAUAGAACUACAGAGGGUGCACAGGUGUGAGUGGAUGUGUGAACAGAGCGUGCACAUGCCCCCGUUUGAGGACCAGCAACAACUCGUGUCGACAACUCUGUAAUGAUCCUUCCGCAGGUUCACCUACGGAAA